rnacentral:rRNA from 1 species
AUUGAACGCUGGCGGCAUGCCUUACACAUGCAAGUCGAACGGUAACAGGUCUUCGGAUGCUGACGAGUGGCGAACGGGUGAGUAAUACAUCGGAACGUGCCCGAGAGUGGGGGAUAACGCGGCGAAAGCUUUGCUAAUACCGCAUACGAUCUCAGGAUGAAAGCAGGGGACCGCAAGGCCUUGCGCUCACGGAGCGGCCGAUGGCAGAUUAGGUAGUUGGUGGGAUAAAAGCUUACCAAGCCGACGAUCUGUAGCUGGUCUGAGAGGACGACCAGCCACACUGGGACUGAGACACGGCCCAGACUCCUACGGGAGGCAGCAGUGGGGAAUUUUGGACAAUGGGCGCAAGCCUGAUCCAGCCAUGCCGCGUGCAGGAUGAAGGCCUUCGGGUUGUAAACUGCUUUUGUACGGAACGAAAAGACUCUGGUUAAUGCCUGGGGUCCAUGACGGUGCCGUAAGAAUAAGCACCGGCUAACUACGUGCCAGCAGCCGCGGUAACAC